UACACGAGUGGCGAACGGGUGAGUAACACGUGGGUGAUCUGCCCUGCACUUCGGGAUAAGCUUGGGAAACUGGGGUCUAAUACCGGAUAGGACCACGGUCUGCAUGGAUUGUGGUGGAAAGCUUUUGCGGUGUGGGAUGGGCCCGCGGCCUAUCAGCUUGUUGUGGGGUGAUGGCCUACCAAGGCGACGACGGGUAAGCCGGCCUGAGAGGGUGUCCGGCCACGCUGGGACUGAGAUACGGCCCAGACUCCUACGGGAGGCAGCAGUGGGGAAUAUUGCACAAUGGCGCAAGCCUGAUGCAGCGACGCCGCGUGGGGGAUGACGGCCUUCGGGUUGUAAACCUCUUUCAGCAGGGACGAAGGGUGACUGACGGUACCUGUAGAAGAAGCACCGGCCAACUACGUG
rnacentral:rRNA from 1 species